AGUGACCCCAUUAUCGGUCUGCUGUCGCUGCGAGCUGGGGCCAGUGCAGGAGCCUGGCACCAGCCGUGGGCUGUAGCAAACUUGUGGCCCCGGGGAUGUGGGGGACAAAAGCCCGGUGACCAGCUGCCAGCAUCCAGGCAGUGGGACAGAGCGGAGAGAGGGGCUGUUAGAGAUGGGGCUGGGGGAGCAGGCAUGGGGCUGAGCAUCCUGCUCUGGCAUCCUGCCCCGCAUCUCCUGACCCAGCCCAUGGCAAAGCCAGGCAGCAGGACAGGCAGGAGAGCCCAGGGGCAAGUCUAGCCCCUGACCUGGGGACAGGCGGGGUGGGAUGUGGCUGCCAGAAGCUGGGAGGCUGCAAAACAAGCAUCUCUGGGUGAAAGCUCUGUGUGGUGUUGCAUGGUUGUAGUGAGAGGUCAGUGCCGGGCCACCGUACGCACACCCCCAGCACGGACACAUCAGGCAGCCAGAUCUACCACCCAGAGACAGCCCGAGCUGCCGGGAUUUGCUCCCUUUUUCCAGCUCACUUAGCAGGUAAGCGACACAGCUUAGCCCCCAUUGGGCUCUUAGGCCCCAUCCAUGCUCACAGAUGUAGCUGACAUGGGUCAGUGGUGGGACAGGUGGGUGCCUGUGGCUGCAAGCCUCAAGUGUCCUCCCAGGCUGAGGUGUCCCCAGGCUUUGUCCCCUGCCCUGGGAGCUUCAAGCAGCAUGAUCCCACCAGGCACAGCCCAUCCUGGGACAUGCCACCUGCGACGUGGGACCCCAGACCCCUCGGUUCCCCCAGGAGAGUCACCAGCACCCGAGCUCCCCGAGCUCAGCUGACAGUGCCCGUCCCGCACAGCCUGGCCAAAUCCCUCAACCUGGAUCAGAGUCUGUAGCUUCAAUCUGCCUCUGGUUUCACGUGUGAGCGAACCAAGUUAAUAAAUCCGGAGGGAACCACAAACUGAGUGAAUAACUUUGCUAAGCACAUAUGUCCUGCAGGCAGAAAUAGUGGGAAUUGCUCCCGGAGCCGUCCAUCCAUCCGUCCCUGCUCAGCCCAAUAUUCAAGCAAUUUACAGCAAAGCCAGUGCGAAGCCAGGUCAUUUCUGAUUAUUGUUUGAGAGGUGCCGGCUUUCCCUGCUAAUUAUAGGCUUGCCUCCAGCUAAUAGGAUUUAUAGAAACAAAAGCAUUACCAGCACAAACAUUGUGCAGGGCAGAACCGGCGCAAGCUGGGAAUUUUCCAUCCUGAAAUGCCAAGGGCUGGGUGCUUGAAAUGCCUGUUUUAUCCAGUGCGAGAUGCAAAGGUCUUCUGGGGUGGGGGAGAUACAUAGAGCCCGCAGAGCACAGAGGAACUGGCCGUCCUCCCCAGCCCAUCCCCAGAGCCGACCCCGGGCCCUGCACAGCCAUGGGGGUACCAGCACUGCUCUUACGCCUGGGAAGCAUCCCACCUGCAGAGGUGAAGGAAACUCGCCCCAGGUCACAGAGACGCAGCAAUUCCUGCUAAGCUGUCCUGCACGAUGGUGAUAAACUCCCAGCCUGUCCCUGCGGGAAGGUCUGCAGACAUUUCCCGGGCACCGAGCAGCAAGCUCUACUCGAACCACUUUUUCUGAAGGCACCAGCUCUUCCGAGCAGCUGGCGGGGGUGGUACAGGGACACGUGUGCCCCCGGGAAGCAGCAAAAGAAGCAAAUAUUGGCAGGAUGGGCCAAGGAGGAGCUGCACAGCAGAGCAGAGGGGAGCCCAGAGCUCUCCUGCCUCCGAGCGAGGAGCCGCCCAGGCCGGCGGGCUGAGCCUGUCUGCAAGCGCUGGGGCUGCCGAGCAAAGCUGCUGCUCCUCCGCGCCAACAAACCGGCGCCGUUCUCUCCCUCCCGCCGGGCCGGGAGUCGCCGGGCCGGGCCCUGCGCGGCGGCGGGAGGCGGCAGCCCACCAGGUGGCACCAGAGCCCCGCCGCAGCCC